rnacentral:rRNA from 1 species
CCUUGACAUACUAAGAACUUUCCAGAGAUGGAUUGGUGCCUUCGGGAACUUUAGAUACAGGUGCUGCAUGGCUGUCGUCAGCUCGUGUCGUGAGAUGUUGGGUUAAGUCCCGNAACGAGCGCAACCCUUUUCCUAUUUGCCAGCGGGUCAUGCCGGGAACUUUUAAGGAUACUGCCAGUGACAAACUGGAGGAAGGCGGGGACGACGUCAAGUCAUCAUGGCCCUUACGGCCAGGGCUACACACGUGCUACAAUGGUCGGUACAAAGGGUUGCUACCUCGCGAGAGGAUGCUAAUCUCAAAAAGCCGAUCGUAGUCCGGAUCGCAGUCUGCAACUCGACUGCGUGAAGUCGGAAUCGCUAGUAAUCGCGGAUCAGAAUGCCGCGGUGAAUACGUUCCCGGGCCUUGUACACACCGCCCGUCACACCAUGGGAGUUUGUUGCACCAGAAGUAGGUAGUCUAACCGCAAGGAGGACGCUUACCACGGUGUGGCCGAUGACUGGGGUGAAGUCGUAACAAGGUAGGCGUAGAUGA